rnacentral:rRNA from 1 species
CCUACGGGAGGCAGCAGUGAGGAAUAUUGGUCAAUGGCCGGAAGGCUGAACCAGCCAAGCCGCGUGAAGGACGAAGGUGCCAAGCAUUGUAAACUUCUUUUGUCAAGGGACAAAAUCAGGCUCGAGAGCCUGACCGAGGGUACUUGAAGAAAAAGCAUCGGCUAACUCCGUGCCAGCAGCCGCGGUAAUACGGAGGAUGCGAGCGUUAUCCGGAUUUAUUGGGUUUAAAGGGUGCGUAGGCGGACUGUUAAGUCAGCGGUAAAAGCCCGGGGCUGCCGUUGAAACCGGAGCGCUAGAAUUCCGAUGCCGUCGGAGGAAUGUGUGGUGUAGCGGUGAAAUGCAUAGAUAUCACACAGAACACCGAUUGCGAAGGCAUCUGACGAAUCGGAGAUUGACGCUGAUGCACGAAAGCGUGGGUAUCGAACAGGAUUAGAUACCCUUGUAGUC